rnacentral:rRNA from 1 species
UACGUAGGGUGCAAGCGUUAAUCGGAAUUACUGGGCGUAAAGCGUGCGCAGGCGGUUUUGUAAGUCUGUCGUGAAAUCCCCGGGCUCAACCUGGGAAUUGCGAUGGAGACUGCAAGGCUAGAAUCUGGCAGAGGGGGGUAGAAUUCCACGUGUAGCAGUGAAAUGCGUAGAGAUGUGGAGGAACACCGAUGGCGAAGGCAGCCCCCUGGGUCAAGAUUGACGCUCAUGCACGAAAGCUAGGGGAGCAAACAGG